rnacentral:rRNA from 1 species
CCUACGGGUGGCAGCAGUAGGGAAUAUUGGGCAAUGGACGUACGCCUGAACCAGCAAAGUCGCGUGAGUGAAGACUGCCCUCUGGGUUGUAAACCUCGUUUGUCGGGGAGCAACACCAGCUACGUAUAGCCAGACUGAGAGUCCCUGAAGAACAAGCAUCGGCUAGCUCCGUGCCAGCAGCCGCGGGAAUACGGAGGAUGCGGGCUUUAUCCGGCUUUAUUGGGGUGAAAGGGGGCGUAGGCGGAAUGCCAAGUCAGCGGUAAAAUCGCGGGGCUAAACCUCGCUCCGCAGUUGAAACUGGGGUGCUGGAGUGGGCGAGAAGUAGGUGGAAUGCGUGGUGUAGCGGUGAAAUGCAUAGAUAUAACGCAGAACUCCGAUUGCGAAGGCAGCACACCGGAGCCUAACUGACGCUGAAGCACGAAAGCGUGGGGAGCAAACAGGAUUAGAUACCCGGGUAGUC